GUCGAGGGGUAACAGGGAAGCUUGCUUCCGCUGACGACCGGCGCACGGGUGCGUAACGCGUAUGCAACCUACCUCUUACAGGGGAAUAGCCCGAAGAAAUUCGGAUUAAUACCCCAUGGUAUUACAGAUUCGCAUGAUGAAGUAAUUAAAGAUUUAUCGGUAAGAGAUGGGCAUGCGUCUGAUUAGACUGUUGGUGAGGUAACGGCUCACCAAGUCGACGAUCAGUAGGGGUUCUGAGAGGAAGAUCCCCCACACUGGCACUGAGAUACGGGCCAGACUCCUGCGGGAGGCAGCAGUAGGGAAUAUUGGUCAAUGGAGGCAACUCUGAACCAGCCAUGCCGCGUGUAGGAAGAAUGCCUUCUGGGUUGUAAACUACUUUUAUAUAGGAAGAAAACGCCAUGCGUGGUAAUAUGACGGUACUAUAUGAAUAAGCACCGGCUAACUCCGUGCCAGCAGCCGCGGUAAUACGGAGGGUGCAAGCGUUGUCCGGAUUUAUUGGGUUUAAAGGGUGCGUAGGCGGUUUAUUAAGUCGGAGUUGAAAUCCCACAGCUUAACUGUGGAACUGGCUCCGAUACUGGUUAACUUGAGUAUGGUUGAGGUAGGCGGAAUUUAAGAUGUAGCGGUGAAAUGCAUAGAUAUCUUAAAGAACACCAAUUGCGUAGGCAGCUUACUGGACCAUAACUGACGCUGAGGCACGAAAGCGUGGGUAGCGAACAGGAUUAGAUACCCUG
rnacentral:rRNA from 1 species